ACAUGGCAGACACGUCUGACAGAAUCUAUUGGUCAAUGAGGGUGGAACCAGCCCAGGAGAAAGAAGUUUGUUGCAGUCAACAAAGAUGAAAAGGAGCUGGAGAUCUGAAGAGCGCUUUGACAUCAGACAUGGAGGUGCAGACUCUGGAGUUGGCCCAACUGCUUUCCUGUCUGGCUCUGGGGAUCACAGUUAAGUGAUUGGACGACUCUCAGACUUUGAACUCUGGACUUUUAACAUUGUUGAGGCGCUAUAGACUAAGGGAACUUUUGAAGUUGGACUAAAUGUAUUUUGCAUUAUGCUAUGUUUAGGUAUGGUCCCCAUAGAGUCAUAUGUUUGAACAAGCUUAUGGAGGCCAGAGAGUGGAAUGUGAUGGUUUGUAUAUGCUCCGCCCAGGGAGUAGCACUAUUAGAAGGUGUGGCCCUGUUGGAGUGGGUGUGGCCUUGUUGGAGUAGGUGUGCCACUGUGGACGUGGGCUUCAAGACCCUCAUCCUAGCUGCCUGGGAGCCAGUAUUCUGUUAGCAGCCUUCAGAUAAAGAUAUAGAAUUCUCAGCUCCUCCUGCACCGUGCCUGCCUGGAUGCCGCCAUGUUCCUGCUUUGAUGGAAAUGGACUGAACCUCUGAACCUGUAAGCCAGCCCUAAUUAAAUGCUGCCCUUAUAAGAGUUACCUUGGUUAUGGUGUCUGUUCACAGCAGUAAAACCCUGAGAUGGC
rnacentral:lncRNA from 1 species